CUCUCUCAUUCUCUCAUUCUCUCAUGUGCUUGGAAUAUGCUCAGGGUUUACUCAGAGCAACCGAAGCACGCGCAAUGCACUGAGUAUUAGCGGCAAUUUUAAAGGUAGGGACGGCCGUGGACGGCUGGAUAUUUGGCGGACUGUCCACCGGGUCCCACACAGCAUGUCUCAUAUCUGGGAUGAUUUCUGAUUGCUGAUGCCGAUUGCGGUGACUCUUCUAGCGCAGUUUGAGAAAGGUUGGAGAAAUAUGCUCCUGAUUCCCCUGCUCAGGAGAGAGGCCAAAUGGACAUGUCUGUCUGGGACUUUGCCUGCUGCUGACCCAACAUGAGGUGAGAAAGGAGACAUCAGGAGCCAGACAGAGAGAAUGAGGGUAACAGCUGACGUGUCCAUGUGUUAAGGAUGGCCCACAGAACGCAGAGAUGGAGCAUCUAUCCACUGUUGUCUCUAGUGGAGAGGGAGACAUGGACUUCCAUCACCACCUGAACAUCAACAUGCACAACCGUCAAGAUACAGUUUGCUGAGAAGACAGAUACAGAACACUACUAUUUAUAAUCAGCAUGUAUACAUCUGUUCAAGACCCACAGAAACCACCAAAUAUGCACUAACUUCCUUUGAAUCAAGUCAGUUUUUUGUAUCAUUGUGAUUUAAAUCUGUAAGUUGUAAAACUGUUUACCAUUUGUCUACUCACUGUGAUGUAAAAGUACAACAUUAUUUAUUCUGAAUUGUAAAAGUCUGUAUUACUCUAUUGGAUUUGGAUUGAACCUGUCCUUAGAAUACAGCAUAAACAUCUGAAGGGAACCCGCAGUGCACAUUAUAGUUAUCUGAAAUUGACUGAAUUUAUAGAAAAAGUAAACAUCAAAGGGAAUAUUUUUGUACUUUCUCAAAUCACUGUAUUUUCUCAAUGAACAGAAUAAAGUAUAUUCAAGAAUA